rnacentral:rRNA from 1 species
GAUUAUGACGUACUUGUACUGAUUGAGAUUUUAACACGAAGUGAGUGGCGAACGGGUGAGUAACACGUGGGUAACCUGCCCAGAAGUAGGGGAUAACACCUGGAAACAGAUGCUAAUACCGUAUAACAGAGAAAACCGCAUGGUUUUCUUUUAAAAGAUGGCUCUGCUAUCACUUCUGGAUGGACCCGCGGCGUAUUAGCUAGUUGGUGAGGUAAAGGCUCACCAAGGCAGUGAUACGUAGCCGACCUGAGAGGGUAAUCGGCCACAUUGGGACUGAGACACGGCCCAGACUCCUACGGGAGGCAGCAGUAGGGAAUCUUCCACAAUGGACGCAAGUCUGAUGGAGCAACGCCGCGUGAGUGAAGAAGGGUUUCGGCUCGUAAAGCUCUGUUGUUAAAGAAGAACGUGGGUAAGAGUAACUGUUUACCCAGUGACGGUAUUUAACCAGAAAGCCACGGCUAACUACGUGCCAGCAGCCGCGGUAAUACGUAGGUGGCAAGCGUUAUCCGGAUUUAUUGGGCGUAAAGCGAGCGCAGGCGG